CUCGCCUCUUUCCCACCGCGCUCACUCAGCUAAGUGCAGGAAAGCGGCGAAGUGUCAGUGAGCGUCCAGUCGCAGCUGUGGGACGAGGAACAUAGCGUUACCGGCGCCUGACGGGUCCAGCAGUCCCCACGAACUUCCCUUCUUAGUCCGAAGCGAAACGCUGCGCUAGUGUCCCCUCCUCGUCGGUUUUACUAUGACCAAACGGACUUUCCAGCACGUAGUGCUUGAGGACUCGCCCUGACGACGGCGUCGCGUGCGCAAACGACGGAGCCAGAAAGAGCAGAAGAGGGAAAUAAGGGCAAAGAUGCUGCUCCUGAAGUCAUUCUGAGGUCUGUUCUUUUGACACAGUGUGGUGCAGCUAAGUAGAAGAGCCUGUGAUAAAGAGCCAUUGCAGUAUGAAAAGAUGUCUCCACUGCUAUACUUCGACAAGGGUGGUACGGCUAAUUCCUGUAGGACAUCAAACCUGGACCUGAAGAGAAACAGCAGAGACAUAAAGGAUGCUUUUUACCACCUGACCACAUCAUCUCUGCUGUGGCCCUGGAGUGGACUGUCAUGUUGCUUCACCAUCAGGUCCUCGUUUGCCUCGGUGAACAUUCAACGCUGUCGGUGAGUUUGAGCUAAAUUGAAAAAACCAUCGACCGUUGAUUGUACCUCGUGGCCAAGCCCUGACGAGCCAGUUCACCCGCACAUGCGCACGCUGAGCCGCAGAACGGCCUGAAACACUGCGGCUCCUGCGGCAUUGCCAUCAUGCUCAAACGACUUCAGAGAACUUCUGGCUCGAAGAACUUCAGCAAAGGUCACAAUCAACAUUCAUUGCUGUCGGUGGGUUGGACUGUGAGGAAAAGCUCACUGAACAAUGAAUGCAACUGUGUCCCAGUCUUCUUCUUCUCGGCUGCAUUGGAGGCGAAUGUUAACCAGCAGUGCUGAUUGUGCAUGUUUAUUACUCUCAUAGUUUGUGUUUCCUCAUAAUGUACAUAACCUGCAUAGACUACAUCUUCAUCAGGUACAGAAAAUCAGAGACUUGCAUUAUCGGUAAAAAUGAGAAUAAAGCUCACUGGGGAACGCCUCCUUUUCCUUUGUGUUUUAACGAUGUGUUAAUCAGAGGAAGGUCUCAUUUUCCUUUGUGUUUUAAUGAUGUUUUAAUGAGGUCAGGAUUUUUUUCUAGCUCACUGUCUCAUUUUGUUGCAUAAUUACUUUUGAGGUGCUUUACCUCGGACUCAAACUAAAUGUAUUUAUUGCUUUAAAAUAUGUGCUGCUUGUUUGUAGGUGCUAUGCUUUGUCCUUAGAAUAAAGAUCUAUUCAUAUGUG